UACGUAGGGUGCAAGCGUUGUCCGGAAUUAUUGGGCGUAAAGAGCUCGUAGGCGGUCUGUCGCGUCGGCUGUGAAAACUCGGGGCUCAACCCCGAGCCUGCAGUCGAUACGGGCAGACUAGAGUGCGGUAGGGGAGACUGGAAUUCCUGGUGUAGCGGUGAAAUGCGCAGAUAUCGUAAGGAAGACCAGUGGCGAAGGCGGGUCUCGUGGACAGUUCCUGACGCUGAGGCACGAAGGUCAGGGGGAGCAAACGGG
rnacentral:rRNA from 1 species